AGUGACAGGAGGAGAAACUCUGGAAAUGCUAAUCCCGAUGGAGGAUGCUUCAGGCCGAACAACACCUCAGGUUGUGGUGCCCUUAUCACAUUCCCAACCUGAACCCGGGGACAGACAACAGCCUGCCAUUCAACACGUUUACCAACGUAGAAGAAGAGCAGCUCCUAAGCGUUAUGAGGAGACUACAACUACAAAAAGUCAGAUUGAUGUGGAAGAUACGGUUGCAUCCG
rnacentral:lncRNA from 1 species